rnacentral:rRNA from 1 species
CCUACGGGGGGCAGCAGUGGGGAAUGUUGCGCAAUGAUCGGAAGAGUGACGCAGCGACGCCGCGUGAAUGACGAAGGCCUUCGGGUCGUAAAGUUCUUUCGACAGGGAAGAAAAUGCCUAUAAGUAACUGUGUAUGUAUUGACGGUACCUGUAUAAGCAGCCCCGGCUAACUCCGUGCCAGCAGCCGCGGUAAUACGGAGGGGGCGAGCGUUGUUCGGAGGGACUGGGCGUAAAGAGCACGUAGGCGGUGUUGUAAGUCAUUAGUCAAAGACUAGAGCUCAACUUUAGUAAGGCUAGUGAUACUAUAAUACUAGAGUAUCAGAGAGGAUUGCAGAAUUCCUGGUGUAGCGGUGAAAUGCGUAGAUAUCAGGAGGAAUACCGUUAGCGAAGGCGGCAAUCUGGCUGGAAACUGACGCUGAGGUGCGAAAGCGUGGGUAGCAAACAGGAUUAGAUACCCUUGUAGUC